rnacentral:piRNA from 1 species
UGGGUUUGGUUACAAACAUUCAGGAAAAAGU